rnacentral:rRNA from 1 species
CACGGGGGGGAGCGAACGUUGUUCGGAAUCACUGGGCGUAAAGGGCGUGUAGGCGGUUCGGUAAGUGGAAUGUGAAAUCCCCCGGCUUACCCGGGGAACUGCAUCCCAUACUGGCUGGACUUGAGUGCGGGAGAGGAUGGAGGAAUUCCUGGUGGUAGCGGUGAAAUGCGCAGAUAUCAGGAGGAACACCGGUGGCGAAGGCGGGACUCUGGGCCGAAUACUGACGCUGGAGGAGCGAAAGCGUGGGGAGCAAACAG